AAAUUGAAGAGUUUGAUCAUGGCUCAGAUUGAACGCUGGCGGCAGGCCUAACACAUGCAAGUCGAACGGUAACAGGAAGCAGCUUGCUGCUUUGCUGACGAGUGGCGGACGGGUGAGUAAUGUCUGGGAAACUGCCUGAUGGAGGGGGAUAACUACUGGAAACGGUGGCUAAUACCGCAUAACGUCGCAAGACCAAAGAGGGGGACCUUCGGGCCUCUUGCCAUCAGAUGUGCCCAGAUGGGAUUAGCUUGUUGGUGAGGUAACGGCUCACCAAGGCGACGAUCCCUAGCUGGUCUGAGAGGAUGACCAGCCACACUGGAACUGAGACACGGUCCAGACUCCUACGGGAGGCAGCAGUGGGGAAUAUUGCACAAUGGGCGCAAGCCUGAUGCAGCCAUGCCGCGUGUAUGAAGAAGGCCUUCGGGUUGUAAAGUACUUUCAGCGGGGAGGAAGGUGUUGUGGUUAAUAACCGCAGCAAUUGACGUUACCCGCAGAAGAAGCACCGGCUAACUCCGUGCCAGCAGCCGCGGUAAUACGGAGGGUGCAAGCGUUAAUCGGAAUUACUGGGCGUAAAGCGCACGCAGGCGGUCUGUCAAGUCGGAUGUGAAAUCCCCGGGCUCAACCUGGGAACUGCAUUCGAAACUGGCAGGCUUGAGUCUUGUAGAGGGGGGUAGAAUUCCAGGUGUAGCGGUGAAAUGCGUAGAGAUCUGGAGGAAUACCGGUGGCGAAGGCGGCCCCCUGGACAAAGACUGACGCUCAGGUGCGAAAGCGUGGGGAGCAAACAGGAUUAGAUACCCUGGUAGUCCACGCCGUAAACGAUGUCUACUUGGAGGUUGUGCCCUUGAGGCGUGGCUUCCGGAGCUAACGCGUUAAGUAGACCGCCUGGGGAGUACGGCCGCAAGGUUAAAACUCAAAUGAAUUGACGGGGGCCCGCACAAGCGGUGGAGCAUGUGGUUUAAUUCGAUGCAACGCGAAGAACCUUACCUGGUCUUGACAUCCACAGAACUUUCCAGAGAUGGAUUGGUGCCUUCGGGAACUGUGAGACAGGUGCUGCAUGGCUGUCGUCAGCUCGUGUUGUGAAAUGUUGGGUUAAGUCCCGCAACGAGCGCAACCCUUAUCCUUUGUUGCCAGCGAUUAGGUCGGGAACUCAAAGGAGACUGCCAGUGAUAAACUGGAGGAAGGUGGGGAUGACGUCAAGUCAUCAUGGCCCUUACGACCAGGGCUACACACGUGCUACAAUGGCGCAUACAAAGAGAAGCGACCUCGCGAGAGCAAGCGGACCUCAUAAAGUGCGUCGUAGUCCGGAUUGGAGUCUGCAACUCGACUCCAUGAAGUCGGAAUCGCUAGUAAUCGUGGAUCAGAAUGCCACGGUGAAUACGUUCCCGGGCCUUGUACACACCGCCCGUCACACCAUGGGAGUGGGUUGCAAAAGAAGUAGGUAGCUUAACCUUCGGGAGGGCGCUUACCACUUUGUGAUUCAUGACUGGGGUGAAGUCGUAACAAGGUAACCGUAGGGGAACCUGCGGUUGGAUCACCUCCUUACCUUAAAGAA
rnacentral:rRNA from 16 species